rnacentral:rRNA from 1 species
UACGUAGGGUGCAAGCGUUGUCCGGAAUUAUUGGGCGUAAAGAGCUCGUAGGCGGUCUGUCGCGUCUGCUGUGAAAACUCGGGGCUUAACCCCGGGCCUGCAGUGGGUACGGGCAGACUAGAGUGCGGUAGGGGAGACUGGAAUUCCUGGUGUAGCGGUGAAAUGCGUAGAGAUGUGGAGGAACACCAGUGGCGAAGGCGGCGCUCUGGGCCGGUACUGACGCUGAGGAGCGAAAGCGUGGGGAGCAAACAGG